rnacentral:rRNA from 1 species
UACGUAGGGUGCAAGCGUUAAUCGGAAUUACUGGGCAUAAAGCGUGCGCAGGCGGUUUUGUAAGACCGAUGUGAAAUCCCCGGGCUUAACCUGGGAACUGCAUUGGUGACUGCAAGGCUUGAGUGUGUCAGAGGGAGGUGGAAUUCCGCGUGUAGCAGUGAAAUGCGUAGAUAUGCGGAGGAACACCGAUGGCGAAGGCAGCCUCCUGGGAUAACACUGACGCUCAUGCACGAAAGCGUGGGGAGCAAACAGG